GUCUACUACAAUGCCGCUGAUUCAUGCUUCGGCGAUGUAAUAAGCAUGUGAGGACACGUACUCUCUCACUCAGCUAGCUACAUACGUGUGGCGCACCUGCUCCGCUCACCCUCGGCACGUGUCUCGCCAACAGUCAAACGGAGCAGAGGAAGGGGGAGAGAGGAACAGAGGCAGAGGAAGGAGAUGAGAGGUCGGCCGGCCAUGGAUGGCAGUGGUGCCAAGGCGGGCUAUGCGCACCACCACGGCACCGCCACUCGAGGCCUUUAGCCGCACCGUCGAGCUGUGCAACUUCGGCAUCGGCCUCGUCGCCGGCUUCCUCCUCGUCACCUGCGCCUACUUCUCCAACACCAAGUUCGACGCCAUCCACAUCGGCCCGCUCAGUAAGCACCUCUCCCUACGUGCAUCUGCAUUCACCUCCUCCUACCUCCCCUUCUCGCCCACGCUCCUGACCAAUCCCAAUGUGUGCGUGCGCAGUCGGCCCCUCCGAGAACCAGAUUGCCUCGCCGGUGGGCACCGACGGCUCGAAGCGCCAAUUAGGUGAUGAAUCCCUCCUCGGCACUGGCAUUUCCGCCGAGUCCCAUGCGUGAAUCGAAGAGGCUGACUGACUGACGCCCUGUUUGUUCCUCCUCUCCUCUUCAGAUUUGGGCGUGUCGGGGCAGGACACAACCUUGUCCAUGGAGGGAGCAAGGACAAGGUGCUGGACACGGACGGUGAGGACGACAGAAGCAACCCCUCCUCGGCGUAAGGUAGGCAACAAACCAUUUGAUCAUUACUGUCAUGCACCGGCCAUGGCCAUGGCUCGAGCUGCAGCGGCCGCCUGCCUUACCCAUGCACUUUGGGGAAAAGGUGAGAGCAAACUGUAUACUGACAUAAACAAUCAUAGCUAGAAUGAACAUUAUUCGGAAGUGUCAACACUCACCUAAUAGAGUUUCAAAUGAAUCUGAAGCCACAGAUGUUUUGAACAUAUGCCUUCACUGAAUGGAUGAACUCUGUCUGGAAUUCCCCUGCAAGUAGUACAACUCUAGUGUUUCAGACAGUGAUAAAUCAUUAAAUCAAACCAAACUAAAAUUUGAGACGCUUAAAAAACCACAUACCUUAAGUAGAAUGGAAAAAAUGUAAAGGCACAUAUAGUGUACUUGUGAAACUAUUUUCAGCUCACCUGUCCUACCUAAACCACAAACGUAAAAAUGUAAUGAAAAUCCACCUUCCAUUAGAAAGAAUAGGAUGUAGAUGAAAAUUCUAAAUCUAUAGUGAAAACAUAAAUAGACGAAAGUUCCUCACAACAACCGAGCAAGAUUGCAAGUAUGCAUCAUGAAAUUCAGCUUGUGUACUUGUGCCAACAAAUAAACUACAAUACACAACCAAAACUUGGGUGGUAC
rnacentral:lncRNA from 1 species